CACCACCAUUAUUUAGGGAGGUCACAUUGUAGAUUCACUACACCACCAUUAUUUAGGGAGGUCACAUUGUAGAUUCACUACACCACCAUUAUUUAGGGAGGUCACAUUGUAGAUACACUACACCACCAUUAUUUAGGGAGGGUAACAUUGUAGAUACUCUACACCACCAUUAUUUAGGGAGGUCACAUUGUAGAUACACUACACCACCAUUAUUUAGGGAGGUCACAUUGUAGAUUCACUACACCACCAUUAUUUAGGGAGGUCACAUUGUAGAUUCACUACACCACCAUUAUUUAGGGAGGUCACAUUGUAGAUACACUACACCACCAUUAUUUAGGGAGGGUAACAUUGUAGAUACUCUACACCACCAUUAUUUAGGGAGGUCACAUUGUAGAUACACUACACCACCAUUAUUUAGGGAGGGUAACAUUGUAGAUACUCUACACCACCAUUAUUUAGGGAGGUCACAUUGUAAAUACUCUACACCACCAUCUAGAAUACAGUAGGACCUCUUUCCAUUUGUCCUUUUGAAACACACAGAAAACUAUAGUAUUUAGCCUAAAGCAGCAUGUGAUUUUACAGUAGACUAUAGAUGUAGGCUACUGUAUAGUCACAUGGCACAGUGUUAAAAUGUUAGAGCAGCCCAUUGGUCUGAACAAAUCCUCUUAGUGAAUGUCCCUU
rnacentral:lncRNA from 1 species